GAUGAACGCUGGCGGCGUGCCUAAUACAUGCAAGUCGAGCGAACAGACGAGGAGCUUGCUCCUCUGACGUUAGCGGCGGACGGGUGAGUAACACGUGGAUAACCUACCUAUAAGACUGGGAUAACUUCGGGAAACCGGAGCUAAUACCGGAUAAUAUAUUGAACCGCAUGGUUCAAUAGUGAAAGACGGUUUUGCUGUCACUUAUAGAUGGAUCCGCGCCGCAUUAGCUAGUUGGUAAGGUAACGGCUUACCAAGGCAACGAUGCGUAGCCGACCUGAGAGGGUGAUCGGCCACACUGGAACUGAGACACGGUCCAGACUCCUACGGGAGGCAGCAGUAGGGAAUCUUCCGCAAUGGGCGAAAGCCUGACGGAGCAACGCCGCGUGAGUGAUGAAGGUCUUCGGAUCGUAAAACUCUGUUAUUAGGGAAGAACAAAUGUGUAAGUAACUAUGAACAUCUUGACGGUACCUAAUCAGAAAGCCACGGCUAACUACGUG
rnacentral:rRNA from 1 species